rnacentral:rRNA from 1 species
AUAGCGGCAGACGAGAGAGUAUAAGAAAGGAACGUACCCCCGAGUGAAGGAUAGCCAGCCGAAAGGCCGGGUAAUCCUGCAUAAUCCCGCAAGGGCAAAGCUUUACGCGCUUGGGGAGCGGCCUUUCUCCUAUCAGCUAGUUGGUGAGGUAAUGGCUUACCAAGGCGAUGACGGGUAGCUGGUCUGAGAGGAUGAUCAGCCUCGAUGGGACUGAGACACGGCCCAUACUCCUACGGGAGGCAGCAGUUGGGAAUUUUGCACAAUGGAGGCAACUCUGAUGCAGCAACACUGCGUGAAGGAUGAAGGUUUUCGGAUCGUAAACUUCUUUUAUCAGGGAAUAAUCUUGAAGGUACCUGAUGAAUAAGCACCGGCUAACUACGUGCCAGCAGCCGCGGUAAUACGUAGGGUGCAAACGUUAUCCGGAUUUAUUGGGCGUAAAGAGCUCGUAGGUGGUUUGACAAGUUGGAUAUUAAAUCUCCCGGCUCAACUGGGAAGCUGUAUUCAAAACUGUCUGACUAGAGGUAUGUAGGGGCAGAUGGAACUUACGGUGUAGCGGUAAAAUGCGUAGAUAUCGUAAGGAACGCCGAUGGUGAAGACGAUCUGCUGGACAUCACCUGACACUGAGGAGCGAAAGCGUGGGUAGCGAUCGGGAUUAGAUACCCCGGUAGUCCACGCCGUAAACGAUGCAUACUAGGAAUUUGGAGUAUCGACCCUCUGAUUUUCGAAGCUAACGCGUUAAGUAUGCCGCCUGGGUAGUACGGCCGCAAGGCUAAAACUCAAAGGAAUUGACGGGGA